rnacentral:rRNA from 1 species
ACCCACGGCCAUACCACCCUGGGAAUGCCCUAUUUCAUCUGAUCUUGAAAGCUAAGCAGGGUUGGGCUCGGGUCUUGUCUAUGGUUA